CAGGGCGUAGCUACAACACAAAGCAUUCAGCUUACACCUGAAAGACAUCUGCUACCCCAGAUCACCCUGA
rnacentral:tRNA from 1 species